rnacentral:rRNA from 1 species
UCCCGCAACGAGCGCAACCCUUGCCUUUAGUUGCCAGCAGUUCGGCGUGGGCACUCUAAAGGGACUGCCGGUGUUAAACCGGAGGAAGGUGGGGAUGACGUCAAGUCCUCAUGGCCUUUAUGACCAGGGCUACACACGUACUACAAUGGCCGAUACAAAGGGCAGCGACACUGCGAGGUGAAGCCAAUCCCGUAAAAAUCGGUCUCAGUCCGGAUUGGAGUCUGCAACUCGACUCCAUGAAGUUGGAAUCGCUAGUAAUCGUGGAUCAGCAUGCCACGGUGAAUACGUUCCCGGGCCUU